AACUCAUCGGACCUGUCACGAAAUCCAGGAAUGUCAACAGCUGGUGUCUGACAGCGACCGAUCACUUUACCAAGUGGAUGGAGGCAAAACCCAUUAAGGACAAGACUGGCGAGGCCACCUCCAAGGCAUUGGUGGACAUCUUCAACACCCACGGUUCUCCUGAGGUAAUUUUGAGUGACCGAGGUCAUGAACGCUGGAACAAGGUUUGGUGAAUGGGACAACCAGACCCUCAAGAAUGCCAUGGGCAAGUCCCUUGAUUGGUACCAGGAAAGGUGGGAGAACAACCUGAAGGUAAUUCUCUUUGCACACAACAGCAGCAUCCAGGCCUCCACCGAGUACGGACGGGAGCCGCAGCUGUUGACUGAGGUAAACAAUGAAAUUGUAUAUACAAGUAUUGCAUAUACUGUAGUCUUUCAAAUUUGUGAUUGAUUUUGUGUUGUUGUUUGUCUAUUGCCGUUUAUGUAUAAUGUACUUUCAGAUCACUGAAACCCCACCUGAUGUGGUGGAAGUUGUCAAACCAGAUCAGAACUCCUUCGAGGACCACCUUCAGGCAUGGACUGAGAAGGAUGUGGAGGUUUUUGACCAGGUGAGACUGAACAUCGACAAGGCGCAGGAGAAGCAGAAGGAGAGCUACCGGAGCAGAAUCAAGAAGGUGACCAAGAGCUACAAUCUCCGGGUGAAUUACUUGGUUUGGAAGAAGGACGAAAGGAAGGCGAAGGAAGGACGAAAGGAAGUGCGUUCCUGGUGUAACUCGGACAGUUGUUGUUGCCAUCCUGUACCUGUCCCGCAGGUGAGCUGUUCAGAUGUACCAAACCUGUGCAGGUGUUGUUACACGUGGUCUGCUACUGCGAGGACAAUCAGCUGUCCGUCCUGUCUUAA